CCUACGGGAGGCAGCAGUGAGGAAUAUUGGUCAAUGGACGCAAGCCUGAACCAGCCAUGCCGCGUGCAGGAUGACGGCCCUAUGAGUUGUAAACUGCUUUUGUACGAGGGUAAACCCCGAUACGUGUAUCGGAUUGAAAGUAUCUUACGAAUAAGGAUCGGCUAACUCCGUGCCAGCAGCCGCGGUAAUACGGAGGAUCCGAGCGUUAUCCGGAUUUAUUGGGUUUAAAGGGUGCGUAGGCGGUUUGCUAAGUUAGAGGUGAAAGGUCGGGGCUCAACCCCGAAACUGCCUUUAAGACUGGUAGACGAGAGUGGAGUAGCGGUAGGCGGAAUGUAUGGUGUAGCGGUGAAAUGCUUAGAGAUCAUGCAGAACACCGAUUGCGAAGGCAGCUUACCAAACUAUAACUGACGUUGAGGCACGAAAGCGUGGGUAGCAAACAGGAUUAGAUACCCUGGUAGUC
rnacentral:rRNA from 1 species